rnacentral:rRNA from 1 species
GACGAACGCUGGCGGCGUGCCUAAUACAUGCAAGUUGAGCGCUGAAGGUUGGUACUUGUACCAACUGGAUGAGCAGCGAACGGGUGAGUAACGCGUGGGGAAUCUGCCUUUGAGCGGGGGACAACAUUUGGAAACGAAUGCUAAUACCGCAUAAAAACUUUAAACACAAGUUUUAAGUUUGAAAGAUGCAAUUGCAUCACUCAAAGAUGAUCCCGCGUUGUAUUAGGUAGUUGGUUAGGUAAAGGCUCACCAAGGCGAUGAUACAUAGCCGAACUGAGAGGGGGAUCGGCCAAAUUGGGACUGAGAAACGGCCCAAACUCCUACGGGAGGCAGCAGUAGGGAAUCUUCGGCAAUGGACGAAAGUCUGACCGAGCAAAGCCGCGUGAGUGAAGAAGGUUUUCGGAUCGUAAAGCUCUGUUGGUAGAGAAGAACGUUGGUGAGAGUGGAAAGCUCAUCAAGUGACGGUAACUACCCAGAAAGGGACGGCUAACUACGUG